rnacentral:rRNA from 1 species
GACGAACGCUGGCGGCGUGCUUAACACAUGCAAGUCGAACGGUAAGGCCCUUCGGGGUACACGAGUGGCGAACGGGUGAGUAACACGUGGGUGAUCUGCCCUGCACUUCGGGAUAAGCCUGGGAAACUGGGUCUAAUACCGGAUAGGACCAUGGACUUCACGGUUUGUGGUGGAAAGCUUUUGCGGUGUGGGAUGGGCCCGCGGCCUAUCAGCUUGUUGGUGGGGUAAUGGCCUACCAAGGCGACGACGGGUAGCCGGCCUGAGAGGGGUGUCCGGCCACACUGGGACUGAGAUACGGCCCAGACUCCUACGGGAGGCAGCAGUGGGGAAUAUUGCACAAUGGGCGCAAGCCUGAUGCAGCGACGCCGCGUGAGGGAUGACGGCCUCGGGUUGUAACCGUCUUUCAAUAGGGACAAAGACGCAAGUGACGGUACCUA